GCCCAGGUAGCUCAGUAGGUAGAGCAGAGGACUGAAAAUCCUCGUGUCGGUGGUUCGAUUCCGCCCCUGGGCACCA
rnacentral:tRNA from 1 species